rnacentral:rRNA from 1 species
UACGUAGGGGGCAAGCGUUGUCCGGAAUUAUUGGGCGUAAAGCGCGUGUAGGCGGCCAGAUAAGUCCGCUGUGAAAUCUCGAGGCUCAACUUCGAGCUGUCGGUGGAAACUGUCUGGCUAGAGUCCGGAAGAGGAGAAUGGAAUUCCUGGUGUGGCGGUGAAAUGCGCAGAUAUCAGGAAGAACACCCGUGGCGAAGGCGGUUCUCUGGGACGGUACUGACGCUGAGACGCGAAAGCGUGGGGAGCGAACAGG